UCCCUGGUGGUCCAGUGGCUAAGAUUUCACGUUCCCAAUGCAAGCAGCCCAGGUUUGAUUCCUGGUCAGGGAA
rnacentral:tRNA from 1 species